rnacentral:rRNA from 1 species
AUUGAACGCUGGCGGCAGGCCUAACACAUGCAAGUCGAACGAGUGGCGGACGGGUGAGUAAUGUCUGGGAAACUGCCUGAUGGAGGGGGAUAACUACUGGAAACGGUAGAUAAUACCGCAUACCAUCAGAUGUGCCCAGAUGGGUUUAGCUAGUGGGUGGGGUAACGGCGCACCAAGGCGACGAUCCCUAGCUGGGCUGAGAGGAUGACCAGCCACACGGGAACUGGGACACGGUCCAGACUCCUACGGGAGGCAGCAGUGGGGCAUAUUGCACAAUGGGCGCAAGCCUGAUGCAGCCAUGCCGCGUGUAUGAAGAAGGCCUUCGGUUUGUAAAGUACUUUCAGCGGGGAGGCGUUACCCGCAGAAGAAGCACCGGCUAACUCCGUGCCAGCCGCCGCGGUAAUUC